rnacentral:rRNA from 1 species
CCUACGGGAGGCAGCAGUGGGGAAUAUUGGGCAAUGGGCGAAAGCCUGACCCAGCAACGCCGCGUGAAGGAAGAAGGCUUUCGGGUUGUAAACCUCUUUUGUCAGGGAACAAAGGCGGGGACUAGUCCCCGUCUGAGGUUACCUGAAGAAAAAGCAUCGGCUCACUCCGUGCCAGCAGCCGCGGUAAUACGGAGGAUGCGAGCGUUAUCCGGAUUUAUUGGGUUUAAAGGGUGCGCAGGCGGCCUGUUACGUCAGCGGUAAAAGCCCGGGGCUCAACCCCGGCGAGCCGUUGAAACUGGCGGGCUGGAGUUGGAGAGAAGUAAGCGGAAUGCGCGGUGUAGCGGUGAAAUGCUUAGAUAUCGCGCAGAACCCCGAUUGCGAAGGCAGCGUACCGGCUCCACACUGACGCUGAGGCACGAAAGCGUGGGUAUCGAACAGGAUUAGAUACCCCAGUAGUC